GAUGAACGCUGGCGGCGUGCCUAAUACAUGCAAGUCGAGCGAACAGACGAGGAGCUUGCUCCUCUGACGUUAGCGGCGGACGGGUGAGUAACACGUGGAUAACCUACCUAUAAGACUGGGAUAACUUCGGGAAACCGGAGCUAAUACCGGAUAAUAUAUUGAACCGCAUGGUUCAAUAGUGAAAGACGGUUUUGCUGUCACUUAUAGAUGGAUCCGCGCCGCAUUAGCUAGUUGGUAAGGUAACGGCUUACCAAGGCAACGAUGCGUAGCCGACCUGAGAGGGGGAUCGGCCACACUGGAACUGAGACACGGUCCAGACUCCACGGGAGGCAGCAGUAGGGAAUCUUCCGCAAUGGGCGAAAGCCUGACGGAGCAACGCCGCGUGAGUGAUGAAGGUCUUCGGAUCGUAAAACUCUGUUAUUAGGGAAGAACAAAUGUGUAAGUAACUAUGCACGUCUUGACGGUACCUAAUCAGAAAGCCACGGCUAACUACGUG
rnacentral:rRNA from 1 species